UGGGGAAUUUUGGACAAUGGGGGCAACCCUGAUCCAGCAAUGCCGCGUGCAGGACGAAGGCCUUCGGGUUGUAAACUGCUUUUGUACGGGGAGAAAAGUUCUGGGUUAACACCCUGGGAUGAUGACGGUACCGUAAGAAUAAGCACCGGCUAACUACGUGCCAGCAGCCGCGGUAAUACGGAGGAUUCAAGCGUUAUCCGGAUUUAUUGGGUUUAAAGGGUGCGUAGGCGGUUUUUUAAGUUAGUCGUUAAAUCUCUGAGCUCAACUCAGACAUGGCGAUUAAUACUGGAGAACUAGAGAUUAGUUGCAGAGGGCGGAAUGUGUAGUGUAGCGGUGAAAUGCUUAGAUAUUACACAGAACACCGAUUGCGAAGGCAGCUCUCUAAGCUACAUCUGACGCUGAGGCACGAAAGCGUGGGGAUCAAACA
rnacentral:rRNA from 1 species